AUCAAAAUGUUUUCCUUUCUCUUUUAUUUUUCAUUCCUUUCUGUUUGUCAAUUUCCAUUGUGUUAUUUGUGUUAUUUCAUUCCUUUAAACUGUUUCUGUAUGAAAUUCUCUUAAGAUUCAUAAGUGUUUCAUUCUCUACGAUAGCUAUAGGAUCCGUCUGCCCAAUUUGCACUGCAAUUAGUCCUUUGGUCAGUACCUGUUAUAUUCGGAGGAGCCGCAUGGUGACUGUGGCGGCCGAUGAACGGUGGUUAGUUGAAUUCCUGGUUUACCUACUUUUCCGUGGUGCUGUGCUCUUUUCUCUCCAUCACGUUUGCUGUAGGUUAUGGUGUUUUACUGAUGUUUCAUGGCCCAUGACGAAAAGGAUUUGUUGUCAGCUUGGAGGGCCUUGAAGUUGACCAAGAGAAGGUCAAGGCAAUUCAAGAAUGGCUCCGUCCGACAAAUGUCUCCCAAGUUCGAAGUUUCCACGGAUUAGCCAGCUUCUAUCGAAGGUUUGUGCCGAACUUUAGGACUUUGGCCGCGCCAUUAACCGGGGUUAUCCGUAAUAAUUCUAACUUUUUUUGGGGAGAAGAACAAGAAAAGGCAUUGAUGAAAAUUCAAACUUGUUUAACUCAUGCACCCUUAUUGGCAUUGCCGAAUUUUGAUAAAACUUUUGAGUUAGAGUGUGAUGCAUCAGGUUUAGGUAUUGGAGCCAUAUUGAUGCAAGAUGGACGCCCUAUCGCGUAUUUUAGUGAGAAACUCAACGGUGCCGUACUAAACUAUCCGACGUACGACAAGGAGCUAUAUGGAUUGAUUCGAGCCUUAGAAACGUGGCAACACUACCUUUGGCCCAAAGAAUUCGUAACACAUACCGAUCACGAAUAUUUGAAGUAUUUAAAAGGGCAGCAUAAAUUGAACAAACGACAUGCCAAAUGGGUAGAAUUUCUCGAAUAUUUUACCUAUGUCAUUAAAUAUAAAAAAGGUAAAGAAAAUGUAGUGGUUGAUGCAUUAUCUCGAAGGUAUGCUUUAUUAAAUAUUUUGGAUUCCAAAUUGAUGGGGUUUGUAUUUCUUAAAGAUUUAUAUGCCGAUGAUAUUGAAUUUGGUGAAUUUUUCAGGUUAUGUGAAAAAGGAACGUAUGAGAAGUACUAUCGCAAUGACGAGUAUUUAUUCAGAGAAGGAAAACUUUGCAUACCUCAAGGUUCCAUUCGGGAGGUGUUGAUUGAUUAAGCGCAUGGUGGUGGGUUGAUAGGGCAUUUCGGUGUUGCCAAAACCUUAGCCACACUCAACGAACACUUUUUUUGGCCCAAGAUGCGACGAGAUGUUGAACAGUUUUGUAAUCGAUGCAUUGCAUGCAAGCGGGCUAAGUCUCGAAUAAAGCCCCACAGUUUGUAUAAACCAUUACCCAUUCCUGAAACCCCUUGGACUGAUAUUUCCAUGGAUUUCGUGUUAGGUUUACCGAGGAGUAAAAAUGGCCGAGAUUCAAUAUUUGUAGUUGUGGAUAGGUUUUCAAAAAUGGCAUAUUUUAUAGCUUGUCAUAAAAUUGAUGAUGCUAUGAAUAUUGCUAAUUUAUUUGUCAAAGAAGUUGUCAGAUUGCAUGGAAUGCCUAGGACGAUCAUUUCUGAUCGUGAUGCGAAAUUACUUAGCCAUUUCUGGAGGACUCUAUGGGGGCGACUAGGAACCAAGCUGUUAUUUUCUACCACUUGUCAUCCGCAAAAGGAUGGCCAAACUGAAGUGGUCAACCGAAUCUUGUCCACAUUGCUUCGAGUAAUCAACCGAAAAAAUUUGAAGGCAUGGGAAGACUGUUUACUGCAUGUGGAGUUUGCGUACAACCGAGCUAUUCAUUCGGCAACUAAACUUUCUCCUUUCGAAAUUGUUUAUGGUUUCAAUCCGUUAACACCACUUGAUUUAAUGCCUUUGUAUUCUAACCAACUUGUGCAUAUAGAUGGAAAACGCAAGGCUGAAUACAUCAAGCAAUUGCACCAAUGAGUUUGAGACAACCUUGAAGCCAAAACCAAGAAAUACGAGCAACAAGCUAACAAAGGCCGAAAGCUUGUGGUGUUUGAGUCGGGAGAUUGGGUUUGGGUGCAUAUGCGCAAGGAAAGAUUUCCUGCACAAAAGACAAUCUAAACUCCUUCCUAGAGGAGAUGGACCAUUCCAAGUCCUUGAAUGAAUUAAUGAUAAUUCUUAUAAAUUGGACUUGCCAGGUCAAUACAAUGUUAGUGCGAGCUUUAAAGUUUCUGAUUUGUCUCCGUUUGAUGAAGAUUGCGAUUUGAGGACAAAUCGUUCUGAAAAGGAGGGGAAUGAUGUGAGCUCGCCUAUGAAACAAGUAGAGAUCGACCAAGAGUCCAUCAAGAUGCCUACUGGCUCGAUAACACGAGCUCGAGCCAAGCAAUUUAAGGAGGCUAUUUCAGCAAUGGUGGAACAAACAUGGAAAAAUGACAGCAAGGAGUUCAAGAACGAGCUCAAUAUUUUCAAUCUUUGGGAAGCCGAAUUUCGUUUUAGCUAAUUAAUUUGCUACUGGAAUUUUGAACCAUUUAAAUUAAGCAUUUAUUUAAGUA